rnacentral:lncRNA from 1 species
CCUUAUUAUUUAUGUAAUAAAACCUACAAUUGACUUUCCUGAGACUUGUAGCAUUCCUUAGACAGGGGAUACCUGCCUUCUGAAACACUGCUCAGAGAAACUGGAGCAAAUAUGCUAUUUUUGAGAUUUAGUCGCCUAUGGGAAGAAAAUCAAAAUUUUAAAUUAGGAAACACUCAGUGGAUUCUGUAAGUUUCUUCAUGGAUAUGCAGAUGAUGAAACUGAAGGGGAGAGAGUGAUUUUCUUAAAAUUGGUAUUCUGAAAUUUAAUGCAGUACUUAUGAAGUCUUUUAUACACUGCCAUUGGAAUGAGUCACUGGACUGUAUUCACCUAAAGUUCAGGUCUGGUCAACAUUUUAGACCCAAAGGUCAACAAACUAUGUAGAUUUGACCCAGAUAACAGAUGCAGUCUGGUACCCAUUUGUGUCAUUUUUAUGUGGCCAAACCUAACUUUGUGGUUUCAUCAUGACAGGCUUUAGUUUGCAGUAGAGAUCUUGUGGCUCAGGAGCCUGAAGAGUUUACUACUCAGCUCUGUGAAUCUUCUUUAAGAUGAUCUUUGAGAAUACCUUUCCAUGUCGUCCUUAAAGCAAGCUAUUGUCAUCCAUUGCUAGCAUUCAGAUUCUCAAGACAAGUAUGUCAUGAGAAAUGAACCUGCAAAGACUACCUGCUUUCUUACCACACUCAUUUCUCCUCACCACUUGUGCCUGCUGAAGUCUCUCCUCAAUCCUCUGCCAAGUGACUACUUGUUGUCUGGAAACUUCUGAGGACACUGGGGAAUCUGGUGGUAACAUGGGCAAGGGAUGUAACCUUGAAUGGAUGGUGGUGUUUUAAUUUCUUCCGCUGUAAGUUACCUAUUUUGUUGGCUUUUUGAACAUCAAUGGGUAUAUGUGUCUGAUACUCGUAAUGCUUAGUAGUAUCAGGUAUGAGAAGGACAACAGUUACAGAAGACGCUACUAUAAUCCAUUCAUAGGAAAUACAGAGGGCUGCCAAAUGCAAAGUGAGAGUAUCAACUUUGUUCUAGCCUGUCUGUAGCCUAGAAGGCCUUAAUAUAAAUGUCGGAGGGAAGUUCUCUCAAUAAUUCAGGAUGGUGCUCCAACAGGCCACAAGGGGAGAAAUGGCAGGAGUUAAAGCUGAAAGCAUGCUGAGGGCCAGGUGUGAAUGACAUCAAGACAUUUAAGGACUUUGCUUUAAGAACAAUGGUAACUCACUAAUACAGCAAACCACAUAUGUUGCAUUUUUGAAAUUUCAGUUUGGCUGUCAGGUAGAAAACAUGAAAUUUAAGUAGAUAAAAAGCAUGUGGACCAUUAGAAGGUUUUGAUGUUUAAAACGUCAUCAAUUAGGUAAGUGCUUGUGAGGAUGAAAGUGAGGAGUGACACAUGGACGGGUCUUCUGAGGAGGACGGUGAUAUUUAAAUGUUUUCCAAAGCUGAAGAGGAGGAAUUCAUGACGCCUCUCUUGGUUUCUAUUUUCCAGUUGGUGUUCUUUAUAUAAAGUGGGGACAUUUGCUGUUUAAUGAGGCAAGGAUUCUCACGGGGCCACAAUUUCAUCUGGAAGAGAUAGAGUGCCAGCCUAUCAUGGUUUGAGAAGCUUGGGAGAUGCACAUAGACACACAGGCACCUGGUAGUAAGGCGCCAGGGUGGAGCUUCAGAGUUUAAUCUUCCGUGAAAUUGUCUGUGCUGCCUCACAGGGAAGCCACGUCUAAACACUGGAAGAUGUUCCAUAGCCAGCACUUUGAGAACUUAUUUCACAUAGUCUUGAUUUAUACCUUACAUUUGAUUUACUUACAUGGCACAGCAUGAUUCCUAAAGGUUAAAAGCAAUGGCUAUUAUUUAUUUAUUUAUUUUUAUUUAUUUAUUUAUUUAUUUAUUUAUUUAGGAGACAUGGUUGUUAAUUUCACUUCAGUCAUAUAGUGUGUCCAUUCACUUAGACUCAGCACUUUUCUGGUGUUAUAAAAGAAGACUUUGUUUUUACUAAACAACAUGUAUCUGUCGAAAUGACUUCUUGGAUGUUAUUUCAGAAGUUCAAGUGAGUUUUCAGGAUUCAGCUCACAGUAUUCAGAUACGAAUCUAUAAUCUGUUCUGUAUCCAUUCUGUAGGCAGGAAGAGGUACACGGUUGGCCACAAACCUCAGGUCAAAACUUGUUUCCUCAUAGGCAGUGGUCAAUGAAAAAGACAGACAACAAAGGAAAUGUUUGUAAAGCGUAGAGCGUAUGAGAUAGCAAAAGUGAUUUGGAGAAAAUUCACACUAAGAAGUUGGAAGGGGUAUUUUUGGUUUUCAGUGGGGUUGUCCAAGAAGACUGUGCUGUGACAUUUGAAAAUUGAUAUAAUAGGGAUGGAGAUGGAAGUCAAGCAAAUAUCUGGGAUCCGAGUCUGGCAGACAGACAGUCAUGGCUUUCAGUAACCCAACAACAGUGAAAUAAGAGACAAAGUUAUAGUAGAUGAAAUUUGCUAAAGGAGAAGGCAUGACUGCAGGUUUUGGGGCCUUUUAGACAACGAUAGAAAGGAAGCCAGAGUUUCCAGUAGUGGCAUGUUGUGUUUCAGCUUCCUUUCUGAAGGAUCACUAUAGUUGUUACAGAAAAAGAAAGAACAACUUUGGGAGUCAGAAUGGCAGCAGAGAGGACUGCAGUAAUUCAGGCAAAUAAGAACUUAUGGACAUACUCCAUUCCAAUAGGUCUGGAGUCUGCCUGCACUGCUCUGUCCCAACAGCUCAUUCAUGACAGGCACUGAUCUCAAGAGUAGGCUUGAACUAUCCUGGGUACCAUAGAUAACCAUGUGUCCACAGAACCACCAACCCAGGGCAAAUUUCAUGUUGUUGUUUUCCAUUUUGUCAGUUAUCAUCUUAUUUACUUAUAAUAGUGAACUUGCUGAUUCCUUCUUGUCCCCAUAGGAGCUUUUCAGGGCUCUGACAUUCUUAGUAUAAAGAAUGUCUGUGUGGCAAGUAAAAUAAAAUGCCCUGCAAAGGUCCAUUCUGGACAACCUUGUUCUAGGAUGAAGUUAGGACAGACAGGGAUGUCUCUCAACUUCUGCACCUCGAGGAAUUGAUAGGUUAGAGUUAGGAAAAUGGUUUAACUUUAGUCUAUAUCACACCCAUUUACUCUACACACAGUAAAAAAAAUGAAUACAGAUAAGACUUAUUGUGAGAGCAGAUAAAAGCAGAAAGAUAGAAAUGAAGUUUUGAACAGGGGAAGUCAUGAACAGAGAAUCUUCCCAUAACACAUGGUGUCAGCGGAAACGGGAAAUUCUUUUACUUGAAAACUUCUUUGGAGAAAUGAUGUUCUUUUGCUCAUAAUAACCAUUGAAUUGUUGCUCACA